GGUUAAGCGACUAAGCGUACACGGUGGAUGCCCUGGCAGUCAGAGGCGAUGAAGGACGUGCUAAUCUGCGAUAAGCGUCGGUAAGGUGAUAUGAACCGUUAUAACCGGCGAUUUCCGAAUGGGGAAACCCAGUGUGUUUCGACACACUAUCAUUAACUGAAUCCAUAGGUUAAUGAGGCGAACCGGGGGAACUGAAACAUCUAAGUACCCCGAGGAAAAGAAAUCAACCGAGAUUCCCCCAGUAGCGGCGAGCGAACGGGGAGGAGCCCAGAGCCUGAAUCAGUGUGUGUGUUAGUGGAAGCGUCUGGAAAGGCGCGCGAUACAGGGUGACAGCCCCGUACACAAAAAUGCACAUAUUGUGAGCUCGAUGAGUAGGGCGGGACACGUGGUAUCCUGUCUGAAUAUGGGGGGACCAUCCUCCAAGGCUAAAUACUCCUGACUGACCGAUAGUGAACCAGUACCGUGAGGGAAAGGCGAAAAGAACCCCGGCGAGGGGAGUGAAAAAGAACCUGAAACCGUGUACGUACAAGCAGUGGGAGCACGCUUAGGCGUGUGACUGCGUACCUUUUGUAUAAUGGGUCAGCGACUUAUAUUCUGUAGCAAGGUUAACCGAAUAGGGGAGCCGAAGGGAAACCGAGUCUUAACUGGGCGUUAAGUUGCAGGGUAUAGACCCGAAACCCGGUGAUCUAGCCAUGGGCAGGUUGAAGGUUGGGUAACACUAACUGGAGGACCGAACCGACUAAUGUUGAAAAAUUAGCGGAUGACUUGUGGCUGGGGGUGAAAGGCCAAUCAAACCGGGAGAUAGCUGGUUCUCCCCGAAAGCUAUUUAGGUAGCGCCUCGUGAAUUCAUCUCCGGGGGUAGAGCACUGUUUCGGCAAGGGGGUCAUCCCGACUUACCAACCCGAUGCAAACUGCGAAUACCGGAGAAUGUUAUCACGGGAGACACACGGCGGGUGCUAACGUCCGUCGUGAAGAGGGAAACAACCCAGACCGCCAGCUAAGGUCCCAAAGUCAUGGUUAAGUGGGAAACGAUGUGGGAAGGCCCAGACAGCCAGGAUGUUGGCUUAGAAGCAGCCAUCAUUUAAAGAAAGCGUAAUAGCUCACUGGUCGAGUCGGCCUGCGCGGAAGAUGUAACGGGGCUAAACCAUGCACCGAAGCUGCGGCAGCGACGCU
rnacentral:rRNA from 1 species